rnacentral:rRNA from 1 species
CCUACGGGUGGCAGCAGUGGGGAAUAUUGGGCAAUGGGCGCAAGCCUGACCCAGUAACGCCGCGUGAAGGAAGAAGGCUUUCGGGUUGUAAACUUCUUUUGACAGGGAAGAGCAGAAGACGGUACCCCUUGAAUAAGUCACGGCUAACUACGUGCCAGCAGCCGCGGUAAUACGUAGGUGGCAAGCGUUGUCCGGAUUUACUGGGUGUAAAGGGCGUGUAGCCGGGCUGACAAGUCAGAUGUGAAAUCCGCGGGCUCAACCCCCGAACUGCAUUUGAAACUGUUGGUCUUGAGUAUCGGAGAGGCAGGCGGAAUUCCUAGUGUAGCGGUGAAAUGCGUAGAUAUUAGGAGGAACACCAGUGGCGAAGGCGGACUGCUGGACGACAACUGACGGUGAGGCGCGAAAGCGUGGGGAGCAAACAGGAUUAGAUACCCGGGUAGUC